rnacentral:rRNA from 1 species
UACAGAGGGUGCAAGCGUUAAUCGGAUUUACUGGGCGUAAAGCGUGCGUAGGCGGUUCAUUAAGUCGGUUGUGAAAUCCCUGGGCUUAACCUGGGAACUGCAGUCGAUACUGGUGGACUAGAAUGCGGUAGAGGGUGGCGGAACUCCGGGUGUAGCGGUGAACUGCGUAGAUAUCCGGAAGAACACCGAUGGCGAAGGCAACCACCUGGGCCUGCAUUGACGCUGAGGUACGAAAGCUAGGGGAGCAAACAGG